rnacentral:rRNA from 1 species
GACGAACGCUGGCGGCGUGCUUAACACAUGCAAGUCGAACGGAAAGGCCCUGCUUUUGUGGGGUGCUCGAGUGGCGAACGGGUGAGUAACACGUGAGUAACCUGCCCUUGACUUUGGGAUAACUUCAGGAAACUGGGGCUAAUACCGGAUAGGAGCUCCUGCUGCAUGGUGGGGGUUGGAAAGCUUCGGCGGUUGGGGAUGGACUCGCGGCUUAUCAGCUUGUUGGUGGGGUAGUGGCUUACCAAGGCUUUGACGGGUAGCCGGCCUGAGAGGGUGACCGGCCACAUUGGGACUGAGAUACGGCCCAGACUCCUACGGGAGGCAGCAGUGGGGAAUAUUGCACAAUGGGCGGAAGCCUGAUGCAGCAACGCCGCGUGCGGGAUGACGGCCUUCGGGUUGUAAACCGCUUUCGCCUGUGACGAAGCGUGAGUGACGGUAAUGGGUAAAGAAGCACCGGCUAACUACGUGCCAGCAGCCGCGGUGAUACGUAGGGUGCGAGCGUUGUCCGGAUUUAUUGGGCGUAAAGGGCUCGUAGGUGGUUGAUCGCGUCGGAAGUGUAAUCUUGGGGCUUAACCCUGAGCGUGCUUUCGAUACGGGUUGACUUGAGGAAGGUAGGGGAGAAUGGAAUUCCUGGUGGAGCGGUGGAAUGCGCAGAUAUCAGGAGGAACACCAGUGGCGAAGGCGGUUCUCUGGGCCUUUCCUGACGCUGAGGAGCGAAAGCGUGGGGAGCGAACAGGCUUAGAUACCCCGGUAGUCCACGCUGUAAACGGUGGGUACUAGGUGUGGGGUCCAUUCCACGGGUUCCGUGCCGUAGCUAACGCUUUAAGUACCCCGCCUGGGGAGUACGGCCGCAAGGCUAAAACUCAAAGGAAUUGACGGGGCCCCGCACAAGCGGCGGAGCAUGCGGAUUAAUUCGAUGCAACGCGUAGAACCUUACCUGGGUUUGACAUGGAUCGGGAGCGCUCAGAGAUGGGUGUGCCUCUUUUGGGGUCGGUUCACAGGUGGUGCAUGGCUGUCGUCAGCUCGUGUCGUGAGAUGUUGGGUUAAGUCCCGCAACGAGCGCAACCCUUGUUCACUGUUGCCAGCACGUUAUGGUGGGGACUCAGUGGAGACCGCCGGGGUCAACUCGGAGGAAGGUGGGGAUGGCGUCAAGUCAUCAUGCCCCUUAUGUCCAGGGCUUCACGCAUGCUACAAUGGCUGGUACAGAGAGUGGCGAGCCUGUGAGGGUGAGCGAAUCUCGGAAAGCCGGUCUCAGUUCGGAUUGGGGUCUGCAACUCGACCUCAUGAAGUCGGAGUCGCUAGUAAUCGCAGAUCGGCAACGCUGCGGUGAAUACGUUCCCGGG